AUGUUCACUUAUUCAAUUCAUCCAGCCGUGACAAGUUUUUGCCCUGUUCUCAACCACCUUGUGAUCAUCAUGUGCCGAAUGAACAAGCGGUGCCUCAUCCUGGACAUGUUGAUAGCUCAGCCCACUUUGGCUAUACCAUGUUGCCCGGGAGCUUUUGUAACCAAAGAACAAGAUGGUAAAUUGCUAGAAUGGGCUCAUACCAUCAAGUCUGGAUUUCCUCUUUUUGUGGCAGCCAUGGACGAGAGCAAUGUCAGGUUGAACGACUGCCAUGUUUACAUACCACUGAGUCUUGUGCGCCAGUUCAAAGAGGAGGUUGUCAAGAUUGUAGCCCUUGACAAGAGUAUAUACGUUGUUGGAGCAAAGAAGCACAAUGAGGAUCAAAUCGUACUCCAAUCUGGGUGGGAUAGGUUUGUGACUUCUCAGCGCAUACAACAGAAUGACUUACUCAUUUUCAUAAUUGAGGGGGGAACUCGCCUCAAAGUUCUCGUCCUUGACCCAAGCGGUAGUGAGAAAACUUUUGCCAUGGGAAACUCUUCCAAUGCCCAAGAAAACCCACCACUACCGCCUACAGUUACUAACCUGAGUUCUGAGGACAAUGAAGUUGCUGACCUGAGUUCUGACGAUGAAGUUAUUGACCUGAGUUCUGACGAUGAAGUUAUUGACCUGAGUUGUGAUGAUGAUGAAGUUGUGGGAAAAGACACCACGACGUCAAGGAGGGAGCAGAGGCCGCUACAAAGUUGUCAUGCAAAAGCUGAAAAGAUGGCUUCAACGUCCUGCUCUUCUACUAAAUCAGGUCAUGGACACAAAGCUGGAAAGUCGAAUGAAGCCGGUUUAGAAGCUCCUGUGUCCAACAAGCCCUACAUAUUGCCCCAAUCUGGGAGGAGUCUAACUAAGCCACAGGAGGAGAAAGUUAAGGAGAAGGUCCAGGCGAUUGGAUCUAAAUUCCCUGUGUUUGUGAAGGUGAUGACGCCUCAUGAUGUUGGGAGGCCAGGGCCAACAAAGCUUUGUUUCUGCGUGGAGUAUGCUUCGGCGUGUCAUCUCCCGCUCAAAGAAACACCUCUCCUACUUAGGCUGGAGGGUAGCGAUAUCCAGUUCCCUGCCACACUGAGUGUCCUGAGAUAUAAUGGGGGGAGGCGGAUUUACGGAGGCUGGAGGGGCCUUGUCUCGCAGGCUGGCAUGGAGGCGGGAGACAUCUGCCUCGUCGAACUGGUAGACAGGAGCAGCGAGAGGCUCACGAUGACGGUCUAUCUGAUCCGCAAGUCGGAAAUGCAGCUCUAG
rnacentral:rRNA from 1 species